rnacentral:rRNA from 1 species
CCUACGUGAGGCAGCAGUGAGGAAUAUUGGUCAAUGGGCGCGAGCCUGAACCAGCCAAGUAGCGUGAAGGAUGACUGCCCUACGGGUUGUAAACUUCUUUUAUAAAGGAAUAAAGUGAGGCACGUGUGCCUUUUUGUAUGUACUUUAUGACUAAGGAUCGGCUACCUCCGUGCCGGCAGCCGCGGUACUACGGCGGGUUCGAGCGUUAUCCGGAUUUAUUGGGUUUAAAGGGAGCGUAGAUGGGUUGUUAAGUCAGUUGUGAAAGUUUGCGGCUCAACCGUAAAAUUGCAAUUGAUACUGGCAGCCUUGAGUACAGUUGAGGUAGGCGGAAUUCGUGGUGUAGCGGUGAAAUGCUUAGAUAUCACGAAGAACACCGAUUGCGAAGGCAGCUUACUAAACUGCCACUGACAUUGAUGCUCGAAAGUGUGGGUAUCAAACAGGAUUAGAUACCCCUGUAGUC